CAAUUCUCCAGAGCAAGGUUGUAAUAUCUUUGAGGGGAUCGUUCGAUCUCCGUCCAGAGGGAGUCGCCCUAACUUUGACACACUUAAAGGUCUACCAUCCGGUCAGCUGGCGACCUUUACCCAGGCUGGGUCGUAUUUCCACCGCUGGUGCCAGCAGCACCUCGAUGGAUACCAUGAACAAGGAACCAGGAGUUAUUUGACAGGAGCUUGUGACCAUUUUCUUUUUUUGCCUUCACUCCCAAGACUGGGGAAGGUACUGCAGUUGCAGGUGAUCGCUCUGGCCCCAUGCCUGCCGCUUCUUUUUCUUCUAAAGUCUCCUCCUUCCCUUCGCGUCUCUGUACAGACGGGUGUGCAGGCAAGCAUUUAGAAAGAAACACGAUUUCAGGUGAUUUAGAGUGUUCUGGAAAGUCUAAAGGAUUGCAUCCCUUCUGGUCAUAUUAGAAAUGCAGGUUUUAUUUAUUAUCACUGCUUCGAGUUACACUUCAAACCUAGCUCCCUUUCCUGACAUGCAUUUCUGUCACUGGGACGUCACGUUUUGACUUCUUCGUCCCUCAAAUUCAGCCCCCAGUUUCUGAUUAAUUUCCUGAAUUCUAUCUACUUCUACUUUGAUUUAGCCAAAUGGUUUUUUAUCUUAUUGCGGAUGUGGAGAAAGUUGUAGUGGUCUGGAUAGAAGAUCAAACCAGCCAUAACAUUCCCUUAAGCCAAAACCUAAUCCGGAUGAAGGCCCUAAUUCUCUUUACGAUUUUGUUAAGGAUAAGAGAGAUGAGAAAGGUGCAGAAGAAAAUUUGAAACUGACAGAAGUUGGUUCAUGAGGUUUAAGGAAAUGAGCCAUCUUCAUAAAAUAAAAUUGCAAAGUGAAGUAGCAAGUGCGGAUGUAGAAGCAAGUCAUUUAGAACUUCUAGUAAACUACUUGAUUAAGCUGUCUACAAUAAACAACUGCUUUCCAGAGUAGAUGAAACAUUCUUACAUUGGAAGGUGAGGCUAUCUAGGACUUUAGAUGGGAGAAAUCAAUGCCUGGCU
rnacentral:lncRNA from 1 species